GAAUCAACCCUUCACCUUGUGUUGCGUCUUCGUGGUGGUAUGCAAAUUUUCGUCAAGACUCUUACUGGUAAAACUAUUACCCUUGAGGUGGAGAGCUCAGACACCAUUGACAACGUCAAGGCCAAGAUCCAAGACAAGGAAGGAAUCCCACCUGACCAGCAGAGGUUGAUCUUUGCCGGUAAGCAGUUGGAAGAUGGAAGGACUCUUGCGGAUUACAAUAUCCAGAAGGAGUCUACCCUCCAUCUUGUGCUGCGUCUUCGUGGUGGUAUGCAGAUAUUCGUGAAGACCUUGACUGGUAAGACCAUCACCCUGGAGGUGGAGAGCUCUGAUACUAUUGAUAAUGUGAAGGCGAAAAUUCAGGACAAGGAAGGUAUCCCACCGGAUCAGCAGAGGUUGAUCUUUGCCGGGAAGCAGUUGGAGGAUGGAAGGACCCUUGCUGACUACAACAUUCAGAAGGAGAGUACCCUUCACCUUGUGCUCCGUCUUCGUGGUGGGUUUUGAGCUGUUUGUGUUAUGUUGUGUUUGUGAUCUUGGUUAUUUUGAAAUGGAAGUUGUGAACUGAUGAUCUUUUUGGGUCCUAUAUUGAGGCCCCCUAGAAUAAAUUCGAUUUUAUGUACUGUUAUCAUAUGGUUGUGAAUAAUUAGUAUUUUGCCUUUGUAAUGAUGUGUCUAAUGGGUAAUGGGUGUGUUGUGUUUUUAUUUUAUGCUAUUAUAUGAUAUGUGGUUGUUAUUUAGUCAAGAUUAUAUACUCUAGUAAUGAUAACUACUUAUAAUUUGUAUAUAUAUGCUGAGUUCAUGAAAGGUUUAACAAUCCUAUGUUAUCCAUGUUACAACAAGAUAGUAGCAAAAUUAUAGAAAGAUAAACGAAAUUAUGGAAAUAGAUGAAGCUAUACAUCGUUAUCACUACCAACCUUAUUUCCAAUUCA
rnacentral:lncRNA from 1 species